AGUUAAUCAAAUUCAUUGUGAUUUGGAUCAUAUACGCCGAGCAGAUAAAAGACCGCAAGUAUUGAAUAAGAAGAUGUUGUGUCUAGCAAACGGAAGAAGAAAAUAUCACACAAAAGGCAAUGCUAUUGAGGACAGAGUAUUUUUAGCGGCGUUGCUAAAUUCCUUCCUUUUAAGACCGCAUGAAGAAACCCCUGCCUUUAAAAGGUUUUUCCGAUACAGAAACUGGACAUUGUUCAAAUACCAUACAAAAUCUAUUCAUUAAACAUAUAUAUGGAGUAAUUCAUAAAUUUAACUGAUCAUGCAGCAGGUAUGGACCGAAAGAAGUAGAUAAUCGCUUCAGACCUCAUAAUAGUAGAACUGAUCAAAAUGAAAACCUUCUUCGCCGUCGUCGCCUUUGCCGUCAUGAACUUCUUGGCCAUUGCCUCAGCUGAACCCCUCUUGAAUGCCUUGCCUUUGGAU